UGCGUAAUUUUGUUUAAAUAAAGAAAAUUGUGAUAAAGUCAACAUCCUUUUCUAGUACUUGGGCUACUUGGAGUUAUCUCCCCUAGAAAAUUACCCACAAUACCUUCUCAUAUUAAAGAUGUCAGCCUCCAGUAGAUAAAAUGUCAAAAUGUAGUUUGUCAGCUUUUACAACCGAUAACUGUGGGGAAUCAAUUCACCACCCACUGGAAAUUGCUACUGUAGAACUAAAAACCUGUCAUCGAUCCAUUGAAAGCCAUUUAAGGGCACUAGGAGUACAACUGAUAGCUCAGAAAGUGUGAAGGAGGGAGAACUGAUUGCAUAUCGGGUUGGAUUUUUUGUUUUUCCAAGUUAUUACAGAGUAUGCCCAAGACACAGGGACAUUCUUGGCUUGCACUGGCGGACAAAGGCAUCAUGUCAGAACCCAAACCUUGUUGGAAAGGCAAAGCCAUACAGAUCAACC
rnacentral:lncRNA from 1 species